rnacentral:tRNA from 1 species
GGGUGAUUAGCUCGCUGGGAGAGCACCUCCCUUACAAGGAGGGGGUCGGCGGUUCGAUCCCGUCAUCACCCACCA